AGGCAUGUGCUAAUAAAUUUAUUAUAAUAAUUAAAUCGGGACUUCGAAUUUGAAGUGACUCAGAGAGGAUGAACCGCUCGCCGCCUACAGAAAAUCAGAAAAAUAAUUAAACAUCAGAAUUAAUAAUUCGGAUUCGUGGUGUUUGUUCUGAGAGGACAACCGCUCGCAACACAGCUAAGGCAAUCCUUGAUAGUGAGGAUCGUCGCACAUUAAAUCAUUGCCAAGACAACACAAAUCUGAAUAUGAUUUUCAAUUUUUACAAUGCUUAAGACAUGCCGUGCCAGUAAGAUAAACCAACUCCAUCGAUUAGUAGCAAGAUAUCACCGUGCCGCAUCUUGACUACAUCGAUAUCGCGUAGAUGGAUCAUUACAACAAAGAAUAACGAACUGCUAUUCACGGGUAAAGUGAUAAAUAGUGAUUGCGAGAUUAAGUGGCUAACUCAACUCACACCGAUAGACGUCGAGGACAAGCUCAUCGCCCGACAACUUUCCACGAAAAGGAUCCACGAGGUGUGACGUCAUCCAACGUGCCUGCGUAAUUAAUCAGUGGAAAAUAAUCAACCACGUGGUGGAAAAUAUUCUACAGGAUUUUAGAAUAUAUCAAACAUGCCGUGCCGGUAGGAAAAAUCAACUUCGUCGAUUAGUAGCAAGAUAUCACCGUGCCGCAUCCUGACUACAUAUCGAUAUCGUGUAGACGGAUCAUUACGACAAAGAAUACGAACUGCUAUUCGCGGGUAAAGUGAUAAAUAGUGAUUGCGAAAUUAAGUGGCUAACUCAACUCACACCGAUAGACGUCGAAGACAAGCUCUACCGCCCGAUAACUUUCCACAAGAAGGAUCCACGAGGUACGACGUCAUCCAAUGUGCCUGCGUAAUUAAUCAGUGGAAAAUAAUCAACCACGUGGUGAAAAAUAUUCUACAGGAUUUUAGAAUAUAUCAAGUAAUAUUGAUGUCGUAUCUAAUAUUGUACAAUUAGCAUGUGCUGAUUCUGAUACUUGAUGGUGUACCAGCAACUUUUUAUAAGCACUUUCAAAUGAAACACUUGAUGGAUUACUAUUAAAUCCUCCACGACUUCGGAUUGCACUAAAAAAUGAUUCCAAAUGAUCCUG